rnacentral:rRNA from 1 species
UACGUAGGGUGCGAGCGUUGUCCGGAAUUAUUGGGCGUAAAGAGCUCGUAGGCGGUUUGUCGCGUCGGGAGUGAAAACUCGGGGCUUAACUCCGAGCCUGCUUCCGAUACGGGCAGACUAGAGGUAUGCAGGGGAGAACGGAAUUCCUGGUGUAGCGGUGAAAUGCGCAGAUAUCAGGAGGAACACCGGUGGCGAAGGCGGUUCUCUGGGCAUUACCUGACGCUGAGGAGCGAAAGCGUGGGGAGCGAACAGG